CCGCCUCUGUACAGGAGGGGGGGGGGGUGAUCUUGUAACUGAAAUUGUUUUGAUACACAAUGGGGAGGGUGAGUAAAAUUUGGAGGGAAUUUCACAAUUAAAAUUACACACUAGUGAGUCGAUGACACUUUGAAAUUUUUAUCAUUCUUUUUAGCUGCUAUAGAGAAUUUACGUCAGCAGGAUGUAGAAGGUACGAGGUCGCUACGAGGUCACCCCAAGCUUGGUUGAACAUUUUAGACAAUUUUUUAUUUUUAUUUUUUGGUCAUUUUGGAGUUUUCUAUUUUCUCUCCCUUUCUCUUGUACACAAUGUUCUUUAUCCGCCGCUGAUCUUGAAAGCAAUAGCAACUUCUCGGGCAGUUUCGGGAAGUUUUCCGCUUACCGGAAAGACCCGAGAGUGUGCGAUUGCUAAAACAAGAGUUGUUUUUCUUGAUAAAGCAGAAGACACUUGCAGCGAAAACGAAAAUGGAUGCCGAAUCAGCAUGAUCAGACAGAAAGCGUGUAUUUGCAGGUAUUUAGCGAAAAUGACUGUCGGGUACAGUACUAUUACACAAACCUGGUAGGAGGAAUUUGCCGCUUGACCAGUAUCAUUGUCUGGGUCAUCCGGUCAGUGGUUACCACCUGUACUUCAAGGUCACUCUCAAAGGAUUUCCCACUUAGCAUCCGUAUUCUAGCCAGGUGAUGCAUUUAAAUGCUUGAACCGCAUAUGCCAGGACUACAAAAGUGCUAUUAUUUAUGAUUUGUGGGAUAUGGAGAGUAGGAUUGUUGGUGGAUAGAAGAAUUUUUUCUCAGGCCAUCAUUACCUGCUGGUGGAGACUGAACACUUUGAUAAACAUUACUGUGGUCUUGCUGAGAUGUAGCAAUCAGUGAGGUUUCAUUUACUGAAAGAAGAGUCGGAGAACUUCCUGGGUCUCAAGAGAUGAUGACACCCUGAAUGCAGGAACACUUCCUUCCCCCUACAAGCAGAAAGAGAGAUGAUGACACCCUGAAUACAAGAACAAUUCCUUCCUCCUACAAGCAGAAAGAUGCUGUCUUACCAUCUGAUUAAUUUCUGGAAAUCGUCUUCCGAAUGGAGAUUACUGAACCCUUCUAUAGAACCACAGGACCCAAUUUCAACUUAGAACAGACCAUCCUUGGAUGAAGGGAUCCAUGAUUGUUCAAUUAUAGGGCUUCAACCCAUUCCAAGGGAGAUAACAAAGAAAUGACAAAAAUAGGAUUGAGUCGUUUUCGAAUCUUUACAAGAAGCACUGUUUUACAUAGGGAUAUGUCGGGAAAUCUUUGAAACUCUUUUUUCUCAAAAAAAAAACCCAGUAGGACAAUAUAUGAUAUGCAAUCAUUCUAAAGUUGGUAGGGUGGGGUCACAAUAGGGGAUCAACAUUUAGGCCACUUGAAAUUAAUUCUCUGGUUCUCAGGCCAAUUUUCUCAAAACCCGAUGAGGGAGGGAGGGAGGCAUUUUGUUUUCAUUUCUAGUAGGCAUCUAAUGGUGAUGGAGGCUUUUUGAAAUCCGAAACAUGUUGGAAAAAGAAACUUUAAACAUAAAAGUUCUCUAACUGAAACAUACAUUUUGUUGCUCGGUGAUUAAAGCUUUAUAUAUACUUCAGACAUACAGAUCCAGCACAUGUGGAUGUUUUACAUGAAUCUUACAUUAAAUGUUCAUCCAAUGCAAUUCUUUUGUGAAGUAAAUCAAAAUCUAAACUGUAACAAACUGGGAAAAACAUCACACGAGCCCUGUUUACAUAACUAAGAAUUGAGAGUGCUGUAUCUCAUUUAAAACUCAAGAAUUGACAUCCAAAGUAUUACUGACCAUUACAAAUACCCCAGUUAAACAUGAUAAAUAUUACAAAUGAGAAAAUAAGAUUGGAAAUUUUUUAGUCCAAAUCUUGUCUUAUGCCCCUUUAAGCAUAAUAUAGUGGUGUUAUUAAGCCAAUUUGUGAUUAAUGUGCGAAUAAAUUUUACAGGGUAUCAGUCACUGGAAGAGUCCGGCUGAUUGACGAGGAAUUGUCCUGAGACUGUGACAUAUUGUAGAGUAGCGGUCACCAGAGAUGUAAGGCUGAUUGAUGAGGGUGAUUUUCCUGAGGCUCUGUAAAAAUAUCAGGACUGUGGAGCGUUGUGAUGUUACUGAUGGUCAACAGAAGACUGACCUUGAAUCUGAAGAUCUGUGAUGAAGACCGGACAUUUGGGGCCACUCUCUGUUACAGUUCUACAAAUCUAACAGUGUCACGCUCAGCCACAAAGAGGUUGUCUCUGAUGUCCACACAUAAACCUAAUGGACGAUCUAAAUCACAGUGAAUGUAACGGAGGAACUGUCCGUCCUGAUCUAGGAUGUGGAUACGGUUAUUCUUAAUGUCUGCUGUCAGGAUGUGACUCUGGCUGUCUGUAGUGAUGCCGACUGGAUUAAAUGAUUGCUUGGUAUUAGAGGGAUGACCAGUGUAUCUAAAUCUGAGUUUUCCUGACUGAUUGACCACCACUACUGCACUAGCUAACCAGUCAGCCACACAGAUAUCCAGGUUCUUGUUCUCACUGAUGUAUUUAGGUUUUAGAUCAGAUGAAUAGAGAGGACGACCCUGAUCAUCAAACUGAAUGCUUUGUUUCUCUGUGGAGCCGGAGUAACGCACGACCUUGUAUUGUUUUCUAUCAUCACUGAUCAUGGUAACCAGGAGAUCAUCAGAGGCGGUACUGCAGACAAAGAGAGGGUACCACCCCUGUAGUGUGAUCACGAUUGAGUUGAGUGGAACAAUGAACCUCCGGAUAUCUAUGUACAUUUACAUGUGUGUGAUUAAACUUCUGUUGUACUCGCGCAUGCGAGCUUAUCCUGUA